rnacentral:lncRNA from 1 species
UCUCUCUCUCUCUCUCUCUCUCUGUAACAUAUGAUCACCUCAAAAACACGAGAAAAAAAAGUGUGCUUUCCUGAUUAUAUAGUCUCCACCAUCCAUGACUCCAAAACCCAAAAACUCCCAAAAAAAUCACUCUUUUUAUUGUUUCUCACGCUAAAUUAUGAACUUGUUCACCAAGUUCGCUCUGAAAGAGAGACACAAGAAAUGCGGGACUGUCGAAUCGGUUCCUAUUUCAAAGGCCGAUGACAGAUCUGGUGUACAAGGCAAAUACCGCGGCCACCAGAUAGAUAGAGAGAGAGAGAGAGAGAGAGUCUCAGGCAAAUGAAGAGAGAAUCAUGUCAUGUGUGGAGGAGGAAAGCCGUAGGGGUAUAAAGAGC